rnacentral:tRNA from 1 species
GAAGAGAGGGAUUCGAC